UUAGUCAGUAGCCCAUCCCACUGCCUUCUCUCCGAGCCAAGGGGUGGGAAAGGUUGUAGGGAAUUCCUAGUCACAGCUUCGUCCUACCCUUUACCUUGGGAGUGCGGAAAACUCAGUGCAGUCUACCA
rnacentral:miRNA from 1 species